UGAGCACACAUUUCCGGCCACUCUUGGCGAGCUUCCAUUCUAAACCCUCCUUCUCCCCACCCCAUCUGUAGAAAAUGCUAGAGUGCAAAUUUAACGACACACGAGGGAUUGCUUCAGAUAUACUCGUUUUUUGAGCACCCAUAUACAAAUUUAACAAUAUCUCAUCAAUCGCUAAGCUCCCUGGUAUCGCUUGGGAAGCAAUUGAGGCUGUCGAAUCAAUCCUUCACGUUGAUUUUGACUCGGUCUUGGGCUGGGUUGUGUGGGGUCGGUCCCUCCCAGCACGCAUUAUCCUACGGGGCCAACGGGUGGCCAACACAUGUUCUACUAGGCCCCACCACUCAUAAAACUUAUUUUCAUUUUUUUUUCUUAUUUCGUUUCCCUUACCUUAUCUCCCGGACUCUUCCAGCUGCCGACGCUCGAGCUCCACAAGAUAGACUCAGAAGGUGAGGUGUGGUCCACUGUCCAUGGCUGUCGCUGCCGGUGGCGGCAAGGCUCACUGUUGCAGGUUGCACUACCCUUGUUCGGUGCUCCCAAGCCUGGGCCUAAGUUGUGGGAGCUGCUUCCAUGUCGUUGUUCCCCUCAAUUCGAGCUCCAUGAGAGACGAUCCCCACAAGGUGAGAUCCCAAGAACUGUUGUGGGUAGCACCACCCGCAUGACCGCAUUCAAUGCACCUAAGCCCAGGCCUAAGUGCAGUUGCUCCCAUGGUCCAUGCCGUUGUCCCCUCCCCCACCUCGCCAGGUCAACCCGCUCCCAAGGUGAAGGCCACACGGCAAUCCAUGCGGGCGGUCAUCUCGUAAACUAAGAUUUGGUAGGAGCUAGUGUAGGCGCACUUCAAGGUGGGAGCUCGAUGCAAUCUCCACAAGCAGAGAUUCAAGGCCAGCAACAUACCCGUGAAGAGGAAGUACGAUGAUCCAUUUCCAUGAGGAAGAUCGUAGAUGCUGAUCUACAGAAUGCAAUUCCUAUUAAUUGUAAUCUAUAGUCAUGUGUUCCACGGGGCUACAAUUUACAAUAGAGUAGAUAGGUAGAAGAAAGGGUGCAACCACGAAAAAAUUUCACGGGGAUAUGUCGUUACAUGGGAGAAAAAAAUUAUUUUUUUUCUUCCGAUUUUCUCGAGCUUAACUGCAAUUAGAUAUAGGAGAUAUAUAAUAAUGAUGCGUUUAUGUGAUGUACCCAAAGCUUUCGUCGGUUCGAGCGGCAGCCGGCCUGUUCUCGCAGGUCUGCUUUUUCCUCGCCGGUUGAGCUCUACAUUCUCGGCGGCAGUGUGGUGGUUUGUUCUUUUACUUGCAUUAUGAUUUGUUGCUUGUGGCGUAGUUUCCUCCUGCAUUUGUCAUGUAUGUGGCUUUGGGUGGAUUCAUGUUUUUGUUAUGCCAUUGGUCUAGAGUUUGUUGAUUUCGUGUGGUUGGGUUGCGUGGCUGGUUGAAUCGUCUUAUGCCUACUUUGUUUGUUGUGUUCUUGCCAGGUUGGAUGAGUCAUGUAUGCGGCGUGGGAGGAUUAAUAAGUGGGCAUCCCUGAAGAGAAUCUUUCCCUUCCAUUUUUUUUCUAUCUUGGAUUAGCUCCAUCCAUGUUUAUUGUUUGUGUUGGAAAUUUGGGUGCUUCCUAAUAAUGGUAGAUAUACCACAUGAGCUGGUGAGUAAUCAUGUUUGGCUUUGGGGAUGAGAAUUCCGAGACCAAGCUUGGGUUGGCCUCGCCAUCAUCGACGCACAUGCGGUGACUCAUUAUUGAAGGUGUAGCCUAAGAAUUGUGUAUUUUUUGAGUUUGUCUUUUAUCAGGAUUAGUGUUUGUCUGGUGGAGUUACACAAGGCAUGCGACCUCGACUUUUUUUUUCUUUUUUGGGUCAAUGUCGUUUGGCUGCUGGAUUGAAUAAUAAAUACUAAUAGAUGGUUGUAUCCAUCACUCGAUUCA